AGAAGCCUCAGGGUUUGAUUGAAACUAAAUGUGAGAUCUGAUCCAUUCACCAGAAAACACAAACUUUACUUCAGAAUAUUCCAGUAAAAAUGAGCUGAAACAUUUGGGAGAAACUAUCAGUAAAAUAUGAUCAACAGGGAAACUUCUAACAUUCUGAUUGUUGGAAAUCAAAUCUAAAAUCCUUGAAGAUCUGCUUCCAAAGGAAUCUUUCAUAUUUGGUAGAAUAUUGAGAACAGAAAUGGAAGGAUUUCAGGAUGAAUUUAUCCAGCAGAUUCUUGAUGUGUUUCACAUGGAUGGAUGAAGAAAAUCCAGCAGAUUGACUGUGAUGUGAUUUGAUGCUAAAAGGUGAUGUGGUAAAAUGAGUAGAGGAGGGGCUUUGAAUGUCACUGAUUUACAAACAACGAAUGGUUCCAUGAAAUGACUUUAGAAAACAGGAACAUUAUCUGUGCUUUACCUUAGCGCCUCAUCUUUGUCUCAUUCUCUUUAACCCCUUAAGCUGCGGUCAAUUUUCCCCUGAAAUUUCUACUGAAGAUGUACAGAAAGUAAAUUGAAUGCUGUUCUUGAACUGUUUGGAGUACAGGCAUGGCUGGGGUCUCCUUUGAAAGCUGACAACCUACAUUGUCACCCAGUGCAGUAAAAAUUACUCUAGGUGCUACUGGCACAGAGUUAUUUAUGUUGGAACACACUGAAUUAGGAGGAAUUUUAUUCUCGCCUAAAUUUCUUCCCUAAUAAAACACCUGAAAAUUAGUGUGGCAGCACUGUGACAGCUUGAAACACAACAAGGCAACAGCUUGGGGUCUUACAUAGUUCAGGACAAAAUUUCAGAGCAAUACUACAAGAAAUGAGUGUUUCACACAUGUUUUUGUACUAAUAUGCCCAAUUAUGUCAAUUUUGGACACCCUAUGUACACCCUGUGAAAAAAUGGUAUAUCGUCGUUUAUUAGCGCUUUUUCACACUAUUUUCACUCCAAAAACUCAUAAAGAACUAAAAAAAUCACUUCAGAUAAGCUUCAGUGUGGAUCUUGAUCUGAAUCAGAGGCACAGACGGAGACAGAAAAAGCUGCAGCUCCUGCAGAGCCGGAGGUGUGAAAACUCACACUCGGCCGCUAAAGCCCGCCUCGCGGCUAUUCAGCAAGCUCAUUGGCGACAUGCCCUGUCAGUCAAACGUUUCCUCCGACGUGUUUUGCAUCAGAAUUUCAGGAAGAGAUGUGAGUCAACAGAUCCAUCGGCCAUGGCAACCAUAGAUAUAUCUAUGAUGGCAACGGCUGGCUGUUCCGGGUUCGGAGGCAGCGAUGAGUCACUUGAUUGGCUGAAACGCGGCUGGGAUCGAAGACAGAGGCUCCAGUCGCCAUUUUCUGACCGAGAUCGUGAGGAUAACAGAAGGAUUCAUAAAAUUAUGGAUAAAAAUGCAGUGACUUAUGGAACGCGCAGCGCCACCGUGCGCCACGUGGACGCGCACGGAGCCGAGCGAUUUGUGGAUUAUUUACUUAUUUCUUGACAUGUUUUGGGCAAAAUAUGAUACUUGCUCGUAUUGUCUGGAUGACUACUCUUGGAUUAUGGCCGGUUUUUGUGGAUUAUUUUCAUCGUUGAUCGGUAAAAGACCAUCGGAAGACGGAGAAAAGGAGCUGCAACAUGAAGAUGGUAAAAGCAGAACUAAUUUGAGGAACAGGAAGUGGUGUCACAUCACUGUUGUCAAGACAACCAAGCAGGAAACCUGAUGGAUCAGUUUGUGAAUAAUUCCUCCUCUGGUUCUUCAGGCUGUUUCCAGUCCAGCAGCAGCAGCGCCCUCUGCAGGUUGGACAGAUAAAAGCUUCCAGCAUCUAUCUGCUAUUCCCAGCUUCUCCCAUCCAGGAACUCGCCAGGCCCCACCCUGCUGACUUCUAGCAAACAUUGAAGGAACAAAAAGGGAUGUGAGCAGUUUUCUGAGAGUCCAUGUUGAGCAGCAGUGGAGGCUGGAUGUGAGGAAGAGGAGGUGGAUCAGCCGAUGCUGCUUUGUUGGCUUUAGAUUCAGAUCCAGGAUCAGGUGAGCUCAAUCAGUCCAUGAAGCAACUGGCAGAUAGUUUGAAAGCAUCAAAUGUGAGCAGAAUCCCAGAAGAGCUGAGUCAUUUGUGGUGCUUUAGAAGAGAAAUCCAAAGUGAUGCAGGUUUGUUCUGUGUGGUCUCUGCACUCCUUCAUGUUGGAGCUGAGAUCAAAUCAGAAGGAAAAAGCUCAAAGUUUUCAUGUUAGGCUGAAACAGACGCUGCUGAUGCUGCUUUUAAAGUGAGCUUGGCUCCAUGAACCAGUUGAAGAUUCUCUCUGAGGGACUUUUAGUUGAGAUGUUUGCUGCUGCUGAUGAUCCAUGUAGAGCACAUCUUUAGUCCCAGCAUCAUGAGGAGCAUUAAAGAAGGAAACAUGGAUUCAUGUGGAACAUUUACAACAAGCACACCAACACUGUCAAACAUUUGAGGGAGAAAAGCCAGUGAGUCUUUCUGCACUCAACUUUAUCUGACAAGAAAACAAGCAGAAAAGAUGGAAGUAGAAACGGCAGAGGAAAUCUCUGAGAGAGAUUUGUGUAAAAGGCUGUAAAAAGCAGCUUUGGAUCUUGAAGAAUCCUCAGAUCGGCUCAUUUCCAGUCUGAUGAGGUCAACACCCAGACAGCUUUAAUUUGAAGGGACUGAACAGGAAAACAGUGAGACUUUUGACUUCUUUCAAAGCUGUUUCACUGGAAUCAUGUUUUAAUACGAGUCAUUUUAAAUACAGACACAUGAAAUGAAAGAAAACACUCAUUAAAUCAAUACUGAGCGUGUAAUGUUGAAUGAACUGAUCCAUCAUCUGGUGUUUGAUCUCAUUUAUAAUUCACAAUAACAUAAAAUACAGCUGUAGUCAUUAAAUUCAGACAUUUAAAAUCUAAAUAAACACAUUUUUUAAUCAAUGAAACCUUUAAUUCAUUGAACACAGAAAACCAUCCUUUAAUGUCUUCCCUUAAAAUGAGCAACAUUUUUAAAAUAUAGCUGCAAAGUAAAAGUUUCACACUAAAGAUGAAUCACUGAUGAACAUUUAAUGGCAUUAACUCAAUUAUUAUGAGGAAACAGAAAUCCAUUUCUAGUAUUUCUAUCAAAUAUAUUUAUGUCUGUAAAAUAUCCUGGACAUCAAUAAAAAUGUCUGCAGAGUGAAAUAUAUGAGUCCAUCUAAAUGGCUCCUUGUAUUGGUGCCACACUGGCCAAUCACUGGAGACAAAACAUGAAUGAAGAAUUCAGUGUCCUGGAAAAGGUGAACUCCUCGUCUGUGACACCAUCCUGGAUCCACGGUUCAAAGAGGUUGGCUUGAGCAAUCCAAAGGCUGACAGGGAGUGUUCUAGCCUUAUUGAAGAGUCAACAGAAGAUGUUCCUCUGGAGAAUUCAGCAACAUCUACCAGUGAAGAGAACUACAACUUGUGGGCUUUGCUGGACAGCAUGUAGAGUCUCAGCACCACACCGGCUGUAGUGGAGAUCCAGAGGUUUGUAUAUGGAGUACUGCUGGAAUAUCAGCUGUUUCAUUCACUCAGUCAUUCAUUGCCUUUCUGUGUGUCUCAGGUAUUUAAAUCAUUUCACGGUGAGAAUUGAUUAGGUGUGGAUUUUUAUUACCAUUUGUAAUAAAUGUAAUCUCAGUAUUAUCCUGCAGUGGCCUCGGGUUAUUUCCUGAUAUCACAACUUCAUGCCAGAAAUUCAUUAAUUGGUGACUGAUGUGCCAUUUCUCAAAAGCUGAGUGACAAAGAUAACGCUGCAAAGCCCCUUCUUGCUGAUAUCAUCUUUUAAAUAGACCAGGCCCAUGUAACCUAACACCUUGGUGGGAAUGCACUCAGUCAAGCCGAUUGUUUCUGCUCACAUACAGUUUCUUGUGUGAGAUAAGUAUGGCCUGGCUGCAGAGAGAACAACAAGGCCUUAAAAGCGUGAAUGAGACAUCGACUGUCAACGCCUCGGUUUGUCAGAUUCUUAACCAGAUUCGUGCUCAAGCAGCGCCAAAGUUGACGAGAAUGAACACUGUAAACAGCAGUGUGUACGUGUGGUGGCUUUCCAGUAAGAUAUGGUUUCUGAUAUCACAUCAUCCCAGACUAAUAUUCAGACUAUUAGUCAGGAUGUGAUGAGCUGAGCUGGUGCCUGCUGUGAUUCAUGUAGCAGCUUCUGAAUAGGCAGCAUAAAUGUUAUGGCACAGAGGAUGUGAGUCAGGACAGAGAGAAUCCAGUUCACUGGGCCAUUACUGCAGACCUGGGUGUUGGGAAGGUUUUUUCCCCUAUAAAUAAGACUAACUAGUCACAAGAUUCAGUGUUUGAGGGACAGCUAGUUAUAUAGUAUGGACGCACAGAAGGCACAAUGUUAAUGCUCUGU